AGCCACAAGACACUUUGCAUUGUAGGAGGCAUUAGUUAAUUUUUGAGUGUCCAUUUUUACUUGGUGCAAAUAAGGGUCCACUCAUGUCAUGUUAAAGAAAAAAGACAUUAGAACUGAGGUAGGUUAUCUGGACUUGGAUUCUCUGCCCUCCCAUUUAGGUGCCCUCUCCGUGUCCUCCUGUUUUGUGUGGUCACGGUUAAGCCACGUCAAUAUUUUAUAUUUUUUUUUUUAUAAAAAUAAUAAAACAAAAAGAAAUAGUAAUAUAAAAUGUUGACGUGGCUUAACCGUGACCACAAAAACAGGAGGGCACGAGAAGAGCACAGAAAUUGGAGGGCAGAGAAUCCAAGUCCAGGUUAUCUAGCAUUAAACCUGCCAGGAACCUGUUAAAGUAGCUGACCCAACAGAAAUUCCAAUAGAGUCAUUUGAUUAGAGUAGUUUUCACACCAAGUGAAAUCAGAACGAGGUCGAG
rnacentral:lncRNA from 1 species